rnacentral:rRNA from 1 species
UUCCGGUUGAUCCUGCCGGACUCCACUGCUAUCGGGGUAAGGCUAAGCCAUGCAAGUCGAAGGCCUCCGGCUCCGGGGGCCUGGCGUACGGCUGAGUAACGCGUGGCCAACCUGCUCUGCGGAGGGGGAUAACCCCGGGAAACUGGGGAUAAACCCCCAUAGGUGACCGGGUCUGGAAGGACCGGUCGCCGAAAGUCCCGGUCGGGGAUGCUCCGGCCGGGAGCCGCAGGAUGGGGCUGCGUCCUAUCAGGUAGUUGGUGGGGUAACGGCCCACCAAGCCUGUGACGGGUAGGGGCCCUGAGAGGGGGAGCCCCCAGAUGGACUCUGAGACAAGAGUCCAGGCCCUACGGGGCGCAGCAGGCGCGAAAACUCCGCAAUGGGCGAAAGCCCGACGGGGUUACCCCGAGUGCCACCCUCGUGGUGGCUUUUGCCCGCUCUAAAAAGGCGGGCGAAUAAGGGGAGGGCAAGUCGGGUGUCAGCCGUC